UCCCUUGUAGCUCAGUCAGUAAAGAGUCUGUCUGCAAUGCAGAAGACCCGGGUUCAAUUCCUGGGUCGGGAA
rnacentral:tRNA from 1 species